AUCUGCGCAUGGUGGCCCCCGUUCCGUUCCAUCGUGGGUCCAGGUUUCGCCAGUACUCCGGUGCAUCCUGAUGAAGAAAGAAACAUCAUAAGCCUUCCACAUGAAGUUCGGACGGGGUUGAUUUACCUUAAUAAAGUAUUUCUAUUGAUCAUUACUCUAAGAAAGUCUGGACUUCAACUAAGAAGCAAGCAAGAAAGAAGAUUAAACAUUUUUGUAUCGGUAAUGGACUGAAUUUAGUAGCGUAGCAUAAGCUGAAUCAAAUGUUACACGCUAAUUUUGAACUACGUAUUCACACACACACACACACACCCCUAUAUGUAUAUAUGAGUCAGUGUGUGUACACAUCUACGGUAAUAGAUGAUCCGGUGAAAUUCACCAAAGUGCACAAGCCAGAUUUCACCCAAGCGACCUUUUUACAAAAUUCAUUUGAAUGGGACUUAAGUUGAAUGCUUUUGUGACAUGCAUUAAUAUCUCUAUUCCAACUUAUUUGAGACGAAAUGUUGCAGCUUAUCUAGGCUUUUGUAAUAUGUAUAAAUACUAUAUUGUUAAAUUAGAUAUUCUUUAUAUCUUG